rnacentral:rRNA from 1 species
CUCACCAAGGCCACGAUGCGUAGCCGACCUGAGAGGGUGAUCGGCCACAUUGGAACUGAGACACGGUCCAGACUCCUACGGGAGGCAGCAGUGGGGAAUAUUGCACAAUGGAGGAAACUCUGAUGCAGCAACGCCGCGUGAAUGAUGAAGGCCUUCGGGUCGUAAAGUUCUUUGAUUGGGGACGAUAAUGACGGUACCCAAAAAACAAGCCACGGCUAACUACGUGCCAGCAGCCGCGGUAAUACGUAGGUGGCGAGCGUUGUCCGGAUUUACUGGGCGUAAAGGAUGCGUAGGUGGAAAUUUAAGUGGGAUGUGAAAUCCCCGGGCUCAACCCGGGAACUGCAUUCCAAACUGGAUUUCUUGAGUAUAGGAGAGGAAAGUGGAAUUCCUAGUGUAGCGGUGAAAUGCGUAGAUAUUAGGAGGAAUACCAGUGGCGAAGGCGACUUUCUGGACUUAAACUGACGCUGAGGAACGAAAGCGUGGGGAGCAAACAGGAUUAGAUACCCUGGUAGUCCACGCCGUAAACGAUGAGUGCUAGGUGUUGGGGGUCAAACCUCGGUGCCGCAGCUAACGCAUUAAGCACUCCGCCUGGGGAGUACGUACGCAAGUAUGAAACUCAAAGGAAUUUGACGGGGACCCGCACAAGCAGCGGGAGCAUGUGGUUUAAUUCGAAGCGACGCGAAGAACCUUACCAGGCUUGACAUGCCACUGACCGCAUCAGAGAUGGUGCUUUACCUUCGGGUACAGUGGACACAGGUGGUGCAUGGUUGUCGUCAGCUCGUAUCGUGAGAUGUUGGGUUAAGUCCCGCAACG